rnacentral:lncRNA from 1 species
UCUGGCCUGGAGAAUCCCAAGGACAGAGGAGCCUGGCAGGCUACAGUCCAUAGCGUCACACAAAGUCGAACUCGACUGAAGCGACUUAGCACAUGCACCCUUUAUAAGACUUUGUUCUGAUGGGCAGCUCCAGAGACCCUUGAGAGGAAAAAGGGUGACCUAGAAGUGACUUCUCCCCAAUGGCCAGUGUUUGUUCUCAGAUGCGCAAUCUCCUGAGUCUCCCAGGAGGCAGGUGAGGUUUGGAGAACACUGAACUUAGAGUCAGAUAGGCCAGGAGUCCAGCUGCAGCUUUGCCAUUUACAAGCUGUAAUCAGGAAAGGAAAGGACCCUGGGUGACUCACUUAUCAUUUCCAGGCCUCCAUAAAGGAUUAACAGCAGAGUGUAAGUAAAAAAGAGCUCUGGAAACUGGCAGCAGUUAUUAAUACAAACUCAUGGAUGAACAAAGGCUAUUUUGUUGCUUUGGCAGGAGAAAAUCCAAUGUCUUGAGGAUCAUAAAACACCAUGAAUGAAUGAGUCUGGUCUAUAGGAAAUAGAAGAGCUUGAGAAAGAAAAAUCAUUUUAGUUUUGAGAAAUGAUUUGGACUUUGAGAACAUACUUCUUGGUGAGUAAAGAGAUGGGGCAGCCUGAUUUGGUAGGAGAGAACAAGAUGAAUAUUCAGGAAGCCGGAAACAAGGGCUCUUAAUAAACAGUAAUAGUGAUGGUGAUGAUGGUGAUAAUGAUGAUGGUGGUGGUGGUGAUGGUGAUGAUGGUGGCGGUGAUGAUGGUGAUGGUGGUGGUGAUGUUGAUGGUGAUGAUUGUGAUGGCAGCUAAUACAGAGCAUGUACUAUGUGUCAAUGUGCUAAGAGCUUUGCAAAUAUGAACUCAACUAAUCCCCUGAACAUCCCUAUUUGGUAGAUACAAUUAUCAUUCUCAUUUUACAGAUGAGGACAAACAAGGCACAGAAGAAAGAUUAACCAACUUGCUCCAGGUCACACAGCUGGUAAAUGAGGGAGCUAGGAUUUGAGCCCAAGGCCACAGGGUUUCAUAGAUUCCACAUACCUGGGACCAGACAGGAGCUCAGAAGAGCUGCAAAGCCAGAGUGCUUGAGACAGACAGACUUUGAAGACAAACGCUGUGUUUAUGAGUCAGCGUCUAUUUGGAGACAACUUGCAGUGAACAUUCUUGACCGACAGCCUCCACCAGGAGGAACUGAGAUUGCCCAGAACUUCCCCUGCGGUUCAAGAUGGACUCUGGCGUGGAAAGCUGGGGCCCUUCUGCGGGUGUGCCCUUGGCUGGUGUCUCUUGGUUCACCCAGAGGCAGUCUCCCCUUCUCCUUCCUCUGAUCUCUCUUCUCCUGCCCACCUGCUCCCCCUCCCCCAAGCACGGCUGGGUCAGGCCAGUCAUGGGAUGGACAGA